rnacentral:rRNA from 1 species
UACGUAGGGUGCAAGCGUUGUCCGGAAUUAUUGGGCGUAAAGAGCUCGUAGGCGGUUUGUCGCGUCUGCUGUGAAAACGCGAGGCUCAACCUCGCGCCUGCAGUGGGUACGGGCAGACUAGAGGUGCGGUAGGGGAGAUUGGAAUUCCUGGUGUAGCGGUGGAAUGCGCAGAUAUCAGGAGGAACACCGAUGGCGAAGGCAGAUCUCUGGGCCGUAACUGACGCUGAGGAGCGAAAGCGUGGGGAGCGAACAGG